GGAAACCAUUGGAGAAAUUUAGUCAGGAGGGCAGAACCAGGAAAAUGUAGGAACGGAGUCAAGAAUAUCGCGAGAUCAGGAGGUCAAGAUGAUCUUCCCUGGACUGCCCCCGUGGUUGGCACAGACAAAAUGGAAAGCUGUGGUUGGUUCCUGAGACGUCAGGUAUUGGGUUGCCUUAAGAACCAGGAAUUAAAUGACUUGCUCAAGACCAUAUAGCCAGGAUAUGUCAAAGGCCAAUGGGAUGAGAAACAAGACCACGGAGACACAGACAGACACAGUGAUGUAGCCACCUAAGGGAAGAAGCAGCUUCGAGGUAUGUGAACGCUGGAGCCAGAAAGCAGUCUUGGCUUUGAAGUUAAGACAAGACUGUCCAUAAACAGAGGUUAUGCGUUUGCCCAAGCAUCGCUCCUGUCCUACCCAGUCUUCCCUUGGACAGUUUCAUGGUGGCAGAGUUUGUCCCUCGCUCUAGAAA
rnacentral:lncRNA from 1 species